rnacentral:tRNA from 1 species
AGCGCCGUAGCUCAGCGGUAGAGCGCACCUCUUAUAAGGGUCGAGGUCACGGGUUCGAAUCCCGUCGGCGCCA